rnacentral:lncRNA from 1 species
GAGAUGAAAGGGAAUAAAAACUGAAAGUGGGAUCCCGAGGCCAGCCCGCGUGAGUCAGGUCGAAUGGUGAGCGUUUGGGACGAGGCCGUCGGAGUGGCUGGCGAGCAGGAGAGUAAAAAUAGCUGCCUUUACUUUUCCUAAAACCUCGCUUCAUCUCAGGCAUUGCACGGGCCCUGGAAAACUGCUCACUAGUUCUGGUAAAUGUUUGUGUAACAGAGGUGGGCCAGGGCCUCUGUUCUCCGGAGGCACCCACAAGCCUUGGGCUGCUGGCUGGGCAGAUGGGAGCGCUUGGCCUGGAGCCCAUCCUUCGUCCAGGGCAGAGAGCAUGGCAGCUCCUGAAUCCUGGCCAGAAAGCCCAGAAGUGUUCCUGCCCACUGAUAGGAAAACCCUAAUACCCCUCUGGAGAGCUGAGCUGAAAUUGCCAUCUCUGCUCAGCCCUGGUAACAAAUUCAUGUCACCCCAGAGUCAGGGAAGAGAAGACACCAAAAGACACCCACAGAUAUACUGCACCUUCGGUAGGCCCUGUGUCCUGCUGGGCAGACGCAGGGAAGCCUGGUUCUGGAGGUCAGGUGGUCCCCACAGAGCGUGAGUCAUUCUGACUCCUCUGUUCUCCAGCAAGGCUUUGGGGCUUCCCGCCUGUCACUGGGCUACUCGGCAGACGCAACUGAGGGUUCACUUAAGCAAGACACACAGAGGAAGGGCAGUGGACCACCCAAGCCAACAGCCCAGGAUACCCACAGCGGACAAGGCAGCCCCAGGCCUGGGUCAGACGUGGUGCUUUCACUGAUGGUCACUGAUGUCAGUGAGGCCAGGUGGGCCAGGGUAACUUCAAAGACGUUUUGUAAAGCCUCAAGCCGAUGCUUGUCUGUCUAGUGCGGAUGUAUUUGGAAGUUUGUGCUGCUGUGUUCUUGAGGCGUUUUCCAGGCUCAGUCACACUCUGAAGCCCCUGUGCUGCCUAUUGGCAGUGGCAGGACUGGCCUCCCGCCCCAUUCACGGCAGGGCAUUGAGAAAUGUGGGAGAGCUUAUACCCGGGUGUGAAUGUCUCUCGCACUGAUUUUUUUUUAGUCAAGGGAAGAAAGUGCUCUUGGAGAAGGGCAUGGCAAUCCACUCCAGUCUUGCCUGGAGAAUCCCAUGGAUGGAGAAGCCUGGUAGGCUACAGUC